AGAAUCACUAUUAUAAUUGACCUUUUCUGUGCUAUCACGGUUCUCAGUGCAUGUGUAUCCCAGGUCAUAGACCAUUAUGCUCACUUGGUUUUCUCUUCGCAUAUAAUCAAUUUAAACCACAUGUGACUUAGCAUCCUCCAAUAUCACUUUGUUUGCUUUUUCUCUCAGAUAAAUCAUAAAAUGUUGAACUACAUUGAAGUUCUCAUCCAGUGAAUCAAAUACACAAAACAAUAAUUUAUGGAAUCUCAAACA
rnacentral:misc_RNA from 1 species